rnacentral:rRNA from 1 species
GACGAACCGUGCGAACGUUGUUCGGAAUCACUGGGCUUAAAGGGCGCGUAGGCGGGUGUGCAAGUCUGUGGUGAAAGCCUCCAGCUUAACUGGAGAAGUGCCGUGGAUACUGCACAUCUUGAGGAGGGUAGGGGCAUCUGGAACGGUCGGUGGAGCGGUGAAAUGCGUUGAUAUCGACCGGAACUCCGGUGGCGAAGGCGAGGUGCUGGACCCUUUCUGACGCUGAGGCGCGAAAAGCCAGGGGGAGCAAACGGG